rnacentral:rRNA from 1 species
UAAUACAGAGGCCUCGAGCGUUAGGCGGAAUCACUGGGCUUAAAGCGUGUGUAGGCGGAUCGUUAAGUGCCUUGUGAAAUCCCCUGGCUCAACCAGGGAACUGCUUGGCAUACUGGCGGUCUUGAGCCACCUAGGGGCAACUGGAACAGACGGUGGAGCGGUGAAAUGCGUAGAUAUCGUCUGGAACGCCAAUGGUGAAGACAGGUUGCUGGGGGUGCGCUGACGCUGAGACACGAAAGCCAGGGGAGCAAACGGGAUUAGAUACCCCGGUAGUCCUGGCCCUAAACGAUGUCCACUAGAUCGUGGUGCUUUUGACGGUGUCAUGGUCGAAGUAAAAAUGUUAAGUGGACCGCCUGGGAAGUACGGUCGCAAGGCUA